GCCGAAAUAGCUCAGUUGGGAGAGCGUUAGACUGAAAGAUCCUAAAGGUCCCUGUUUCAAUCGGGUUUCGGCA
rnacentral:tRNA from 1 species